AUCAUGUGUCAUGUGAUUAGAGGCACCUGAAUCUAUAAUCCAGGUGACAGAGUUGAUAUUAGUAAGUAAGCAAAGUUUGGAAUCAGAAAUAGGGUUCCCAGUUAACAUAGUACCAGCAAAGUUAGCAGCAUAUAUGGGAGGAGGAGUUUGGGCAGUGGAGUCCCCUAACUUGGUCUGGUGUAAUAAAUUCAUCAACUGGUCAUAAUCUUGUCUGCUCAACCCUGGUAUCACAGAGCUCUGGC
rnacentral:lncRNA from 1 species